GUUGCGUUUCCUGUUGGUUGGGAAUGUCAGCCUGUCUCCCCCACGGCUGGCAAGCAACGGUUCGAUUCCGUUACGCAGCA
rnacentral:tRNA from 1 species